rnacentral:rRNA from 1 species
GUAGGUGGCAAGCGUUGUCCGGAAUUAUUGGGCGUAAAGCGCGCGCAGGCGGUUCUUUAAGUCUGAUGUGAAAGCCCACGGCUCAACCGUGGAGGGUCAUUGGAAACUGGAGAACUUGAGUACAGAAGAGGAAAGCGGAAUUCCACGUGUAGCGGUGAAAUGCGUAGAGAUGUGGAGGAACACCAGUGGCGAAGGCGGCUUUCUGGUCUGUAACUGACGCUGAGGCGCGAAAGCGUGGGGAGCAAACGAGGAUUAGAUACCCUGGUAGUCCACGCCGUAAACGAUGAGUGCUAAGUGUUAGGGGGUUUCCGCCCCCCUUAGUGCUGCAGCUAACGCAUUAAGCACUCCGCCUGGGGAUACGGCCGCAAGGCUG